rnacentral:rRNA from 1 species
AUACGGAGGGUCCGAGCGUUAUCCGGAUUUAUUGGGUUUAAAGGGUGUGUAGGCGGGUUUGUAAGUCAGUGGUGAAAGCCUGGAGCUUAACUCCGGAACUGCCAUUGAUACUGCAAAUCUUGAGUACAGUUGAGGUGGGCGGAAUGCAGCAUGUAGCGGUGAAAUGCUUAGAUAUGCUGCAGAACACCGAUUGCGAAGGCAGCUCGCUAAACUGUAACUGACGCUGAGGCACGAAAGCGUGGGGAGCGAACAGGAUUAGAAACCCCAGUAGUCC